GAUUUUAAGAGACAUGAUUAUUAUAGGUUCACAGAAAUUUACAAAAAGGCUGUUAAUUCUUAGCAAGCUAGCUCAUUGUUUUCAACUCUAGAUAAUUAAUAUAACUUCACAACCUGGAUUCACUAAGGUCAAGAGCCAAAAAACGAGAUCGCAACAACACCAGUUCCUGAUUUGAAAUUCUGAAACUAAAAAGGCAAGAAAGCGCAACAAACAAACUAAGGCAACAUUUUUAUUAAUAAAUAAGGUGGUAUGAAGUUCUGACAAGCUUACGAGCCUGAAGGAAUCAUCUCUACGAAACCAAUCCAGAUUCAAUUCUCUCAUGCUGAACCAGAAUAUAUAUUGAGGAGAUGGACAGAGCAAGUGAAGGAAUCUCCACCGCGGCUUAGAUCGUCGAUCAAUCGAAAGCCUCUUCCGAGCAUUGAUUAAUGUAUCAAGAGCAGUGAGAAGAUGAUUGAUGAUCAGGUGGAAGAGAUCAGGAGUCACCUGCACGGCUUAGAUCGUCGAUCAGAUUACUCAACCUUUUGUCGAGCAUUCUUUUUACUUACAUGUUCUAUGGAUCUUCGAUAUUGGAGCCACAAUAAAAUUCUAUGAUUCUAUUUCAAAU
rnacentral:lncRNA from 1 species